GCGGGUGUAGCUCAGUGGUAGAGCACUGGCCUUCCAAGCCAGCUACGAGGGUUCGAUUCCCUUCACCCGCUCCA
rnacentral:tRNA from 1 species